UACGGGGGGGGCAAGCGUUGUUCGGAAUUACUGGGCGUAAAGGGCUCGUAGGUGGCCAACUAAGUCAGACGUGAAAUCCCUCGGCUUAACCGGGGAACUGCGUCUGAUACUGGAUGGCUUGAGUUCGGGAGAGGGAUGCGGAAUUCCAGGUGUAGCGGUGAAAUGCGCAGAUAUCAGGAGGAACACCGAUGGCGAAGGCAGGUCUCUGGGCCGAUACUGACGCUGAGGAGCGAAAGCGUGGGGAGCGAACAGG
rnacentral:rRNA from 1 species